rnacentral:rRNA from 1 species
AGAGUUUGAUCCUGGCUCAGGAUGAACGCUAGCGGGAGGCCUAACACAUGCAAGCCGAGCGGUAUUGUUUCUUCGGAAAUGAGAGAGCGGCGUACGGGUGCGGAACACGUGUGCAACCUGCCUUUAUCUGGGGGAUAGCCUUUCGAAAGGAAGAUUAAUACUCCAUAAUAUAUUGAACGGCAUCGUUUAAUAUUGAAAGCUCCGGCGGAUAGAGAUGGGCACGCGCAAGAUUAGCUAGUUGGUGAGGUAACGGCUCACCAAGGCGAUGAUCUUUAGGGGGCCUGAGAGGGUGAUCCCCCACACUGGUACUGAGACACGGACCAGACUCCUACGGGAGGCAGCAGUGAGGAAUAUUGGUCAAUGGGUGCAAGCCUGAACCAGCCAUCCCGCGUGAAGGACGACUGCCCUAUGGGUUGUAAACUUCUUUUGUAUAGGGAUAAACCUACCCUCGUGAGGGUAGCUGAAGGUACUAUACGAAUAAGCACCGGCUAACUCCGUGCCAGCAGCCGCGGUAAU